UGUCCCCUGCGGUGUUCGUUAAGGUCAUAUAUUCCUUGAACCAAUGCUAAUUGGCAUCGGUUGCGAACCCUAGAACCCGUUGUUGUGAGCCUCUCUCGUUGGAGGCACCUGAUACGGAAGGAACGCAGCCACUCUGAACUCAGGUUCAGGAUGCCGGCCUGACGGCACAGGCGGGGGCUUU
rnacentral:other from 1 species